rnacentral:lncRNA from 1 species
GUAGAUUCAUUAUAGGAAUAAGAUAUGUAUCUAGAUGGAAUCUAUCAAUUUUAGUAGAAAAAGAGAAGUUCUAUGCAAUUCGCGAGACUGAGUUUAAAAAGUCUUUGAUCGAAGCAAGUGUGAAUACUGAAAAAGAGUUUUCAUAAAAAUUCAUAAAUGAACUCGAGUCGAGCCAAUUUUUGCAUAUGACAGAUGAUGGGAUUUGAUGAAUUUUUCAUAUCCUCUGUUU